rnacentral:misc_RNA from 1 species
GCAUCUACCGAUUGAAUGGAGAGGUAAAAUCUCCGGACUAUGACGCGUUGGGGUCAAACCUAAUGCAGUCGUGGGAAGUGGAUUAAACCUUUCCAUUUAGAGGAAGAUGAAGUCGUAACAAGGUUUCCGUAGGUGAACCUGCAGAAGGAUCCA